AACGAACGCUGGCGGCAUGCCUAACACAUGCAAGUCGAACGAGACCUUCGGGUCUAGUGGCGCACGGGUGCGUAACGCGUGGGAAUCUGCCCUUGGGUACGGAAUAACAGUUAGAAAUGACUGCUAAUACCGUAUAAUGACUUCGGUCCAAAGAUUUAUCGCCCAGGGAUGAGCCCGCGUAGGAUUAGCUUGUUGGUGAGGUAAAGGCUCACCAAGGCGACGAUCAGUAGCUGGUCUGAGAGGAUGAUCAGCCACAUUGGGACUGAGACACGGCCCAAACUCCUACGGGAGGCAGCAGUGGGGAAUAUUGGACAAUGGGCGAAAGCCUGAUCCAGCCAUGCCGCGUGAGUGAUGAAGGCCUUAGGUUGUAAAGCUCUUUUACCCGGGAAGAUAAUGACGAUACCGGGAGAAUAAGCCCCGGCUAACUUCGUGCCAGCAGCCGCCGUAAU
rnacentral:rRNA from 1 species